rnacentral:rRNA from 1 species
CCCUUAGAUGUUCUGGGCUGCACGCGCGCUACACUGUCGGAUUCAGCGAGUCAUAUCCUUAACCGAAAGGUUUGGGUAAUCUUUUGAAAGUCCGACGUGAUGGGGAUUGAUCAUUGCAAUUAUUGAUCGUGAACGAGGAAUUCCUAGUAAGCGCGAGUCAUCAGCUCGCGUUGAUUACGUCCCUGCCCUUUGUACACACCGCCCGUCGCUACUACCGAUUGAAUGGUUUAGUGAGAUCUUCGGAUUGGCGCCUACGCGGCUUCUCUGAGGCCACGCUGGAUGCCGAAAAGUUGCUCAAACUGUAUCAUUUAGAGGAAGUAAAAGUCGUAACA